AGUGGCAAACGGGGUAGUAACAAGUGGGUACGUACCCAGAAGACAGGAAUAGCCCAUCGAAAGGUGGAUUAAUACCUGAUAGUCUCGCAAGAGUAAAUGAUUUUUCGCUUCUGGAACGGCCUGCUCGGUAUCAGCUAGUUGGUGCGGUAAAUGCGCACCAAGGCAAUGACGCCUAGGGGAGGUGAGAGCCUGACCCCCACCAUUGGAACUGCGACACGGUCCAAACUCCUACGGGAGGCUGCAGUCGAGAAUCUUCCGCAAUGCACGAAAGUGUGACGGAGCGACGCCGCGUGAUGGAUGAAGUACUUCGGUAUGUAAACAUCUUUUAUACGUGAGGAAAUUAUUGACGUUAGCGUAUGAAUAAGGGGCUCCUAAUCUCGUGCCAGCAGGAGCGGUAAUACGAGAGCCUCAAGCGUUAUCCGGAAUUAUUGGGCGUAAAGGGUGCGUAGGUGGUCAUGUUAGUCAGAGGUUAAAGACCGGUGCUUAACACCGGGAAGGCCUUUGAAACGGCAUGACUUGAGAGUGAGAGAGGUAUAGGGAACUCAUAGUGUAGGGGUGAAAUCCGUUGAUAUUAUGGGGAACACCAAAGGCGAAGGCACUAUACUGGCUCAUUUCUGACACUCAUGCACGAAACCCUGGGUAGCGAAUGGGAUUAGAUACCCCAGUAGUCCAGGGCCUAAACGAUGCAGACUAGCCUUACGGAGUAUCGACCCUCUGUGAGGCGUAGCUAACGCGUUAAGUCUGCCGCCUGGGAACUACGGCCGCAAGGCUAAAACUCAAAGGAAUAGACAGGGACUCGCACAAGCGGUGGAUCAUGUGGUUUAAUUCGACGAUAAGCGAAGAACCUUACCAAGGCUAGAAAUUCAAACGACGGUUUUUCGAAAGAAAUUCCUCCUUCGGGCGUUUGAACAGGUGAUGCAUGGCCGUCGUCAGCUCGUGGUUUGAACUGUACCGUUAAGUCGGUUAACGAGCGCGACCCUCAUCGUAUGUUUUAUAUGUCAUGCGAGACUGCCCCCU
rnacentral:rRNA from 1 species